CGUCGUGCGUGCCUGCGAGCAGAGGGAAAAGGGCACCCGUCUCCUCCCCCAAUCCCCUCCUCCUCGGCCGCCGCCACCGCUGCUCGUUUGGCUGGCCGCCAACCUCCUCUUCGCCCCUGCUUCUCGCCGCCGGCGACUGCGGCCACCGCUGUAUCGUGCGGGUAUCCCUAAUCCCCGUGCGUGGGUGCUCCUCCCCAUCCCCUCGUUCUCCUCCUCUCCCAAUCUGGUCACUUCUCUCCUCUCCAGCAAUCCCCUUCCUCCAUUUCAUCUCCGGUGAGCUGCCGUCCCUCGCGUCCUCCCUCUCCGGGUCAUCAAGGCCAAGGAUGAGAGCGAGAUCCUCAUGGUAGGCAAGCUGGUGCUGCAGCUCGGCUCUAGCAUGGCCGCGCUUUCUACAGAGUUCGUCGGCUCCGGCGAGGCAUGGAGGUGGGCGUCGGGCGUGGCCGUCCUCAGCGGUGCGCUGGCCGCGCCGGUGAACACGAUGGAGCACGAGUUUUCUUCCCUCUUGCGAAAUCUUGAGCUAGGGUUUGUGGGGGCAGCAGAUUCCUGAGUCCACGCCAUGAAAUCGAGAGCAGGAGGUGGUGCCUUCUGGUCAUUGUCUUCCUGGAGAUUACCGCCUUGGACCUGCAUCUCGUGGUACUGCUGUAGCACCAAUGCUACAAGAUGUGAGGGCCUUUCUCUAAAAUCAUGAGGGCAACACUCGGUUAAGCUAUCCACACAGGUUUAAUUUUGCAACAUUGACUUUCCUCAAAAUAUGUUUUGUUGUUUUGGUGGUGAGCAGACUAAAUGUAGUACUCCAUUUUGAUGAAUUGAUGUUACCAUACUUUUGAGCAGCAAAAAUUCUAUCGCUUAUCCUGAUGGAUUUCUUGAACGAGUUGUUGUUACUUGUAGCUUGUUACAAAAUACAGAUCUGAAUCUGACCAAAAUAUGACCUUUUUCUUAAGUUUCCUAAUGUGUUUUUAGGAAUCAAAACACUUGUUCUGUAAAAGGAUAACAUCUCCCUUUACUUUUACUAUUGCGUAUGCUUCUUUUUCUUGCUGGAUCGAGCAAGCACAGUAAGAAAAGAAGUUGUAUCAAAUGCAUUCUGCACUAGCAGGUUCAUAUGUCUGACAUGCUUUUUUUUCAUUAGAACUUGCAAGUGGACAUCGAAAAGUGAAAUAUUCCUAAUAACUUAGAACAUAUGUGUUGCUUUGUGGUUAAUUGCUUUUCUUAAUGGUUAUUUGAGUUAAGUGUAGAGUUUAGAAAUGAGUUGAACCAUAUUACUUCAGAGAAGAGAUUAUGCAACUGCAUAGCUGUAGUAGUUGUACUACUUUUGAAACAAUACAAUUCGAUGUACAUUAUACCCAGGUCCAGGAAAUUUCUCAAGUCAAGUACUAUUACUAUGUGCAUUUAGCAACAACAAAAUCAUUGAUUUAAAUAUUCAUAAAUAAAGUAUCACUGUUUGCCAAACCUUCGCUUAUGUAAAGCCCAGGUUAUGUAGGACUGUAUCUGUAUGGUUAGCUGCACAAGCACCUUCGUGUAAAGUUCCUUUGAUUUUCUCACGUUCAUUUUUUCCAGGUAGUCCAUUGACAACCCAUCCACGCCAUCGUCCUCGCCUCACAAUUUUCAUUUGUUAUGCAUAGAGAACUUUUCAAGGUUGUAUUUUUCUUUCGCAACUUUGCUGUGUUUUGAAAUGUGCAGAUUUCAGUCUCGAUGAUUAUUUGGCUGAACAUGACACCAAUUCCCAAGCAAUAGAGAUGGUGUGACAGUAGGAUAAUGUACCUGUCCUUUUUUUGUUCAUAUUGUUUACCGAUACAAUUAUGGUAUGCGUAUGUAACGACCAAUCUCAGAAAUAAGUAGAGUUAGGGCGAUUGAGGAAAUAUGAUGGAAAAUUAUAAUUACAUGGUCAUCCCAAAUAGGGAUGAUUGAAUAGAAAAUCUAUAUCGUUAUUAGUUCAUGAAAGUACGCAUAAUGUGAUAACUUGGAUGUUUAUGUUCAAGAGAAGGUGCUCUGUUUGGUAGCUAUUUAUCUCAUUUUGGCUGCUUGUUUUCAACUUGAUUUUAAGGUAUUAGUUCUUCAGUUACCGUUAAAUUUUCUUUUGAUAUUGGUUCAUAUUACUGAGUAAUAAAUAUUCAAGUAAGAACAUUAUAAUUUCAUGUACCAUCAGUAACCUCUUACGACAUACUCCUAUGUGAUAUGAAUUGAUAAUUUCCUGUUGCAUGAACAUUGUCCAUUAUGGUGUCUCCUGUAAUAUGCUUUGUUUCUCUGUAUGUAAGUUUGUCAAGAGAUCGGGUAAAUAUAGGUCCUCAUGCAAAACCUUAAUUUGUAAACUAUUGAUCCCUUUUCUCGUGAACCAUUUCUUUCCUAAACUUUAACAUGUCUCCCUUAUAUUUGUGAUAUUUAAAAAAUAGAAGGGAAUCAUCCAACAUAUAUUCUUUCUGAUCUUGGUUCUUUAUUUGCAUCCAUAUUUAUUGAAACGUGUCUACAUAUUUACUAAUUCAUAGGAAUGCAGAAAAUAUAACAUGUGUAUUAAGUCCUGCUAGCUACAGUCUCUGGCUCAGAGGAGGUCUUCUGAUAGCAUUUUCGGUGACGAGCAUUCUUUUGGACUUUUUAGAAGCAAUUCUUAGGCGACGAGCAUGUUGAAUCUACAUAGAUUGUUUUCAGGGUCAUACACUCUUCCAAAAGGUCUGUUGGUUGAUACAGUCAUAUGUCAUUUUGCCUUUAAUAAUCAAAAUUGGUGUCUCAUUCUCAAACUUCUCUUUGUUCAACCACUUAAAGAAUUCUUUGAUGGCUUCUGUGACAACAUUUUGAAGAAAAGCUGCAUUUAAAAGCUCAGUGAUGAAGCCAUUGAAGAUGCCCUUGAGAAGGUUCAACACUACCUUUUGUUUUACUGAUACUAUAAAUUUAUAGAAUAAGGAACUCAGGUUUGACACACAAGGUGUGGAACCGUGAGAAGAUCAUCAUCAUCCCCGGCCACUCAUCUUCACCAGCGACGAGCGGGCGAACCGAUAACUGGGGACUUCUGCAACGAGUGGAAGAUUAGGAAAAUUCACAAUAGAGAGGUGUUUGCCAGAUUGUGCCCGCUCAAGAAGGCCCGCUGCUGACUAGACGAGGUAUUCUACUGACCGCUUGUGGUUUAGUGGUUUAGCAGUAUUGUCUUAACCUGCUCUAAUACUUGUAUAUGUUCUCCUUGGUACUGAUUUUCACACGUGCAAUGCUGGAGCUUUUGGUCAAUUUGCAACUGGAAUUGAAAAUACUAAUGCAGGUUUGAUAUUGGGACUAGAAAGGUUCUUCUCAAGGUAUGCAAACAAGUUUAGGUACUCCCAGAUAUAAUUGACAUAGUCUUAAAUGAUAAAGUAAAAAGAUGUAUCUUUCUUUUAGAUGUUAUUUUCCAUCUUACUGUUAUUUUCCAUCUUACUGCUAGCACAGUUUCCUACUGUGUAUUAAUAUAAUUUAGUUAGCUUUCUGAUAGUUCAUUAGAAUAGCCAGUCUUGCAUUUUUGUGACUACUUACAGUAGUUUCUUUGGAUCGUCUUCUUGGCUGCACCAAGCCUUUUAAGUUUAUAAAAAUUAAAAUCCCCAUUUUACAUGUCUAAAAUGAAAAACAUGUGGCUUUUGCCACUGAGUGAAAUUGCUAUUUUUUUCUUGAAAACGCAAUUUCAUUUCAUUGAAAAGAUAGAGUUUACAAUCCUCCGAGUAGUUCUGCCAUCAACCUGGGAUGUCCACUAAAUACAUGUAACUCUGUUGUAAAUUGCUAUUUUUGUACUGUCAUAUUUUACAUAGUCUGUAUAUUUUUCUGUACACAUAGCUUCCUGUCUAGCAAAAUGUCUAGGCAGCCAGGGUUCAGAGACUCACCACCUAUCUUAAUAAUAGGGGUUCCUCCCCAUGUUAGUUUGUUUUUGGUCUUUCGAAAAAAAGAAGUCAGUCAUGAGCAAGUGCUUGAUAAAAGAUAGGUUGUCGUUCAGGUGUGUUUAUGUACUAUCAUACCUAUGGUCUGGUUUGGUUGUAAGAAGCAGCUCCGCAAUUAGUUAAUAUAAGCCGUUCCUCAAUAGGUUCUUAGUUCCUAGAAAAUUUGGCUUUACAAUUUUGCUAGCAAAUGAUACGUGUGAGUUGCAAAAAUAACACAUUCAUUUCUUAUUUAGUGUGUGAACUCAAGGGAGAUGACCAUAGAAAGAUAGAGCGGCUAUUUAUGAAUAUAAUUUGGCUGACUAAAAUUCAACUUGCUUUGUAGUUACUUUGGUUCCACAUAUAUUUACAUUUUAGCCUACUUUGUCCAGUGGCUCAAAGUAGACCCAUGUCCCUCUUUCCAAUAACUUUUUUUGUUAAUAGAGUGAGCUACAACAUUUAGUUUGUGCGUAGUUUUUAGUGAGCAGUGCUUUUGUUUACACAAUUUGUACUCUUUUCUAUAUGGCAUUUAAGUCUUUCCUUGGCCCUGCACCGCCUCACGUGGCAUUGUGUUCGGCCAUAUAUGUUCACCCGAGUUUUAAAUGAGGUAUGUCAUGUUGCUUCUCUUUGUCUGUUCAUGCAAAGUUCAGUAUUCCUGUUCCUAGAAUAAUCUAUGGAUAAGAAAGAUAGAAAGUAUUAUAGCAACCAUUUUCACCAACAUUAACUCAGAGUUCCUUCUUAGUCACUGAAGGAUCAGACUGUAAAAUCGGUGAGAAAAUUUACAGAUUAUCAUGGUUUGCAAGAAGCAUUAAAAAUUGCUAAAGACUUGAAGCGUUUAUUUAAAUAAAUAAUCCAUAUAAAUAGAUUCAUCAUUUUAUCUUUGCAUAUAGAUAGAUGCAUCAUUUUAUCUUUGGUUAGGUUUGAAGCAUUUAUUUUUGUAGUAUUUUAUUUUCUUAUUCCAGAAAAAUAAUUCAUCGUACUUGAUUCUCUACAACCCUGUCUAUCUUCUUAGUCCGGAAGAAAUAACUUUGUACUUGAUUUUUCUACUCCCCCUUUUAUCCUUGCAUAAAAGAAGAAUUUUUAUUAGCUCUAAAAGGCUCUUUGGAUGCACCAUCGUUGGUCAUUACACAGUAUAUACCUCACUUUGGGAAAUUUGCCGUAUUGCUUGGUUUCACUUUGUUUGGUAGAUACAUAUAUAUGAAAACAUGGCUAUGAUUUCUGUUCAUUUUAACUCGAGUCUCCGGUUCUAUCUGCAGGUACUAAGGGCAUGUACAAUGCGGCGCUUAGCACAUGCGCUAGGGAUAGUAAUCCUGGCCGUUUUGAUCAAAUCCCUGCCGAUCCUAGGAUACAGCUUACAUCGGCUCUUACCCAUGCGCCGAUCUAAUAAUGAUCUGACUUUUUUCCUUCGUAUUGUCAUCAUGCUUUUUGUUCAUACUAGAAUGGUCCUCCUUGCUUGAUGCCUGAACCAUUACCAAAGAGUAUUACGUAGGAGGAGCUAGCCGAGCUAGCCAUUGAAUUAAUUACAGCGUGGCCAAUCCACUUUCGGUAUCUUGGGUGACUUCUGAUUCCUUACCUACUUGGAAAAUGGUGCUUUAAUAUACCACUCAUUACUCUGAAAUUAAUUAACUAAAAUAUUUUAUGCUUCCAUAGAUCUGCCUAAAAUUACCUUAUCACACAGUAGCUUGGCAUUUCCUACUAGCCGUGUCAGAAAGAUUAUUCUUUGCCUUCCAUCUGGUUAUGCCAUGGAAAUAGGAAUCGAUAGUUUCAUUGUCGUUCAAGCUCCAAGGUAGUUCUUUUGUUUUGACACUGCAUGCUUUGCUGCUCCGAUAUAUCCAUCAUAUUUUAAUUAUCGGUCACAAAAUAUAUUUGGGGUUGUAAUAGCUACACAUGAAAAUCAUGUAUAUUAUUUUUUGGAGAAGCCAUCUUUUUAAAAGCAAAUGGAAGUUAUGUCAAAAUUGAGCUCUGUAGUGUGGUCAAAGAUUGGUCUUUUUUAAUCUACCACUGAGAUGCUCUCCUUGUUAAAGGUAUCAACUUGUCAGUAUACCACCAGCUGAAGUAAGUUGAGAGUAACACAUCUCAUGAGGGCUAGCUAUUUAGAUCUUGCAUCCACAAAGACAUCAAAAAAUAUGAAAUAGAUGAAACUACAAUUUGGUAGCAAAUUGAACUGUAUUUCAUGGAGAACAAUAUUUAGUUGUGUCGCUUCAGGUGGUAAGAUAAGAUUCUUUUAGACCAUUUCACUUCCAAACUAAAAACGUUGAAUAUCUGUAGAAUGGUUCAUACUUUCUUUGUGUCUUUCAUUGGACUACAACCUUUUAAUUUGAAUCCUCUCUGAUGUGUGCAGACAUGGACUAUUUUCAAUGGGUUCCAAGUUCCGAAAUCAGCUCCUCUCUUGAUGUAUUGUUAUGCUAUUUCCGCACCAUUGUAAACAUUUUGAGUAGCUCUUAUCGAACAACAUAUCUCGCACUUUACACUGUUGGACCCUCUCUCAUGAUGAGUUCAGAAGUAAUUAUGUUAGACGUGGCUGCCGCUUGACAGUGAUUUAUAUUAUUGCUUGGCUAAAAAGGAUUAGAGGUACCUUCGUGGCACAUCCAAAGUUUGCUUGAAGUUUGGCAAGAACAGUGAGGGACUCGCUGGCUAUGUGGAUUUAGAUUUUGCUACCGACUUGGAUAGGAGAAGGUCCCUCACAGGUUAUAUGUUCACUGUUGGUGGAUGCGCUGUGAGUUAGAAGGCAACGUUACGACCUGUUGCUGCUCAAUCUACAACCGAAGCAGUAUAUGUGGCUAUUGCUGAAGCUUGCAAAGAGUCGGGUUGAUUGAAAUUUUUGUAUAUUGAGCUUUAUGAAGAUGAUUCUUGCAUUAACUUGUUUUGUGACAGUCAAAGUGCCAUAUCCAUUACUAAAGAUCAAAUGUUUCAUGAGAGGACAAAGCACAUUUAAUGUCAAGUACUAUUAUGUUCACGACAUUGUUGCACAAGGAGAUUGUUGAGAUUCAUGCUACAAGGUGGAAUUUAUCUCAAGGUGAAGUUUGUUAUAUUGUGAUCCAAAUUCAUACGAAAGGGAGGCUAAUUUCUGACGAGCGGAGCGAUGCCUGUCGCCUAUAUGUAUAUCUUGUAAACCGCCGGCUAGGGUUUAUCAGAUUAUAAGAUAACCCAUGGUGUUUGUAAACACCUCCUGAUAAAGUGAACUUUUGCUGGCUAGCGUCCGUGA